UCUUGACUCACUUCUGGUGUAAUUUUGGUCAACCAGUUGAAAAAAUUCCAGUGGUUUCUUGAAUCAUAUUCAGAAAAUCAAAAUCCAAUUUAAUUUUUUUGACACUAUUGUACUGAUUCAUUCAUUUUAUUUCCGUCAGCUACUGCAAGUCUUCCUGGUCUGGGGUUCACAGUCAUUUAAUGUGAUACACACCCAAUUUAACAACCAAAAUGACAUACCUAAUGUAAUGUGUGAUGAAUGAAUGAAUGGGCUACACUUUGAAUGUGGAAGGAAAUAUGUGUAGUAUUUUGUUGUGCAACUCUUCUUCAAAUGCAGUUAAUCAUCAAUGAGUAUUUUUCUUUCUUUCUUCCCUCAGAAGAGAACUUUCUGGAUGAAUAUAGAGAUCAGCUGAUUGAAAUAGUGACGAACAUUAACCCAAUUUUGGAUGACCUCCUUGAGCAGAGGCUUAUUCCAUACAAAAGAUCUUCCCUUCUUCUGAGAUUUCAAAAGCUCUCGGGAAAAGAUGAGGGAGAUCAUAAAGUAUUUGCGGAGAGCUGGGCGGGUCACAGACAAAGUGAUGUUCUACAACAUCCUGGAGAGACAUGAGCACAUCUUAUCAAGUACAUCGAAACUCACCCAUAAACACAUAGGGUUUCACUUUUGGCUUUUUGUGCAAAUUGCUUUUUAGUGCAUACCUUUCAAUGUGAGGCAGAAUUAUCUACUUCAAAAUGUGUGUUUCCAUAAGACUGCAUUGACCAUGAGUGAGAAAUCACAGCUGUCCUUUAAGGUUUCAGAUUGCUCACUGCGUUGUUUCUCUGGAAAGGUUCUGAAAUCUCCAGCAUGGACGUGAAAUUUCAGAAAAUGUCACCUGAUUCCUCGAAUUUACCAAUGGCAAGUGGGAGUGGUCCUGUUAAGGGUGACCGGAUUAAACUUGACCCUGGAAUGAAGUGUGUGGAUGCUGAGGAAGCUCCAACUUACAGUCAGUCUACAGUCUGAAGCAGGUAACUGUGAAUGCAGCCUCUCUGGUCUGCGCUGGGUCUGUAAGGGGAAGGUCAGCUUCAAGCACCAGUUUGGCUCUUGGGAAGAACACAAGGAGAGAGUGCAAACCGUGCAAUACAUGCCAGGAGGUCCCCUAGUGGACAUCACUGUUAUUUCUGGAAAGGUAGAUGAAGUGUAUGUGCCACACUGGAUCUACACAGGUAAGCAGACGUAAUAUCAUAAUGAAAAAAAGAUGAAACAACUAUGUACACAGUGAGGUGAAAAUCCUCUCUUCACUCAUCUACUUUAUCAAAGCAAAGAAAUCUAGUCCUCACCAAGUCUUCUCUCUUUCUUAAAUGUCAGAUUGAUAGCACUCUUAAUUUGCAAACAAAACACAACAUUUCCAUUAGAAUAUCAUGUUUCCCUCACAAUAAUGUAUAAUAGUAGGAAAGUCGCACUCAUCUUUUGUGCAGAUGACAACCCCGCAAUUUUAGGCAAGUUUGCAGUCCUACACAUACUGUAGGUACCAGUGGAGAUGUUGUGGAACAACCGUCUGAGGUCACACCAACCCAUGUCAAGUUAUCCGAGCCAGUUUCCUCUCCAAGAGGAGUCCUGAUGAGAUUGGAUUUUCCUGUGAAAUUUAACGUGUUAAUAUUUAAGACCAACAAAGAGUUCCUCACUCUACAUGUCUAUUUGAUCCCUCGUGACCCUGCUCUACAGGAGAAAAUAAAAAACAAGGCAUUGUCCAGUGGAUACACAAUGAUCCCAAAGCCAUACCCAGAGAAGUCCCUGAAAAUGAAUGACAGUUGAUCCGGACAAUGCAGCAGUUUACUCUCAGCCAUUAAAACUCAAAUAUGAAAGCAGUAACCCAAAUUUCUACGAAAUGUUCAUUGACCAUCCAGACAGUCACUUCAAGCUCACCCUCAUCAAUCUGGACCAGUGUGGACAUGUGCGAUUCGAAACGUGUUCAAAGAAGAUUGUGGGCUGAGGAAAUGAAGAAUGAAGAUGCUAAUUUACUUUGAGUCUAUAUCAGGUAUCAAACAUCGUAAAACAGUUUUACUACAAAUGCACCAAAAUACAUACAUAAAAAUCACUUGUCCUAAAGUCACAUUUUAUAUACAAGUAUACAGUGUAAUAUUAUAUAUAGUGUACAUAUUCUAUACUGAUGCUUUCUGUAAAUGUGUAAUACAAAAAACGUUUAUAUACAACAUGUGUACAACUAGCAAAUACGUCUUAAAGGAAACUUAAUGCUGCCUGGAUUACAUCUAUGUUCUUUAUCAGCUUCUGAGUGACUCAAUGUGUCCGCUAAGCGCUCCUUGUCAACACGACAGUUUUGUGACUAAAGCAAGAACAACACUUUGAUUGUUAAUAUGUUUACUCGACUCAGAGCAUUUAAUUAAAGCUGCUGUAAUCAGUACUUCAGUAUUUCUUCACUAACUAUGUGUCAGUAUUAUCACUUGUUUUGAUGACAGCAUUUUCCCCCGACUGCAGUUCUCUUCAGCUCGAUGUAAAGGAUCUUAAUGUCUUUCAGCUUGUUGGUUUGGUUUCCAUGACUCCUCUCUUCAGAUCAGAUGUCAAACAAAGUAAAUAGCUCGCUAGUGAACAUAGUGGGGCAUAGUGGACUAUUUUCUUGGACUUUUAUUAUUUCACUGUUAUGAAAAUAAUUUUCCAAAACAAAAACUUGUUUUUGUUGUUGGUGAAAUAUUUCUGUAAGACACAGAAGGAGUUUUAAUGUAUGUACUAUAUAUGUUCAAUGUAUUUGUUUUUUUUAUGAUAUUUACCUGAAUUACACUUCUUUUGCAGUAACAUCAUUUUAUAAACAGAUUUCAUUACAACUGGAUGUUUCUUUUCUUGCCAUACAUGAAAGUAUGUUUUAAUCUCUUCUGGUAUCAUUGACAUUACAAAGAAAGAAAGAAAGAAAGAAAGAAAGAGAAAGAAAAAGACGUAAAAUGAGUUGAUCCUCAACUCAAAUAUAUAUUUAGAAGUUGUAAGAAGAAUGUCAAAGGGCAACUUCACCUAUAUUAGGAUCUCAACAGUAGGAGUACUAAUACAUAUGAAACUGCUGUAUUAUGUGAUUCUGAAAUGAGCUUGCCAAGUGUGUCAUCAGGGUUAUCUUGGCUUUGGCCUGAGACUGCAAAUUAAUAACAGAAAGUAGUAGUUUAAAAGACUUUGGUAUCUUCCAGGAUGGGAGAGUCUAAUGAAAGAUGCUAUCUAAUCACUAUAUCUCAGUCUCUAAUGCACCAAUUUUGGUUCUAUUUCUCAUCGACGGGACUGACGAAUGACUUGCUACUGAUUGGUUAAGGUAAGACAAAACAAAAUAACCCUCCUUCCAAUAAAGAAAUUGGCUCAGAUUAUCAGGCUAAUACACAAUGAUCAUCUUGUCUCCAAGAUAACAACAGUAUGUAUUUGUGUGAGGAAUCCAAAUCAGCUCUGAACUGCCUACUCUGAAUCCCACAGUCUAACAUGGCUAUAAACGUGACAUAAUUCUUGUCAAAUAAUGCACAGAUGGACCACGUUCAUACAGAAGAAAGGAAGCCAACAGAACAGGAAGACCCCCACGAUCAGACCCACUGUUUUAGUUGCGUUUAUCUUCUUCCUCAGAGAAUGGGCAGAGUGAGCAUGGACUCGUCAGGAGGAGCCAGUCCUCAUGGUGCUCAGGUUCACCUGUAGCUACCUAUUAUGGUGCACAAUUGUAUGGAUCCACCUUGCUUGUUUCAGGGCAGCCAUGAAAGUUUUCUCAUAGGCAAAUAGUGUGGAUCUCCCAAUGGAAUAAAGGAGCAGAUAGUUAUGGUUGCAAAGGAAUAGGGGACAUGAAAUGUGGCCAUACAGCUCUGAAUAUUUUGCUGUGUGUUCCUGCUAAACACAGAGUACAUGCCGAGGAAGACGCAAAGGGAAGAGAUGGCCAUAGGCAGAAUGCACCAGCACUGCAACCAAGAAGUCCACCACUGACAGUGAAAACACAAAAGCACUGAUGGACGUCUGGUAGCUUUGGAAACAUGCCACUGCAGCCAUGAUGAAAAGACUGAUGGCUAAGAUGGGGGAACUUGAAACUUCACACAGCAAUUAUGACAUUUCACAGAAAUGGUUAAUAUAAAAUACAUCAGCUCCUACAUGUUUUUUUUUUGUUGUAUUUUUCAGUCCUUGCCUAUAAAAAAGUAGGAUAUACUAGGAUAUACUUUAUACAAGAACAAUGAAAAGCUUCAUAUUUCUUUUAUAUCUUUUCAAAAAUUCUUCUGUGUUUCAAGCCUCUAGGCCUAUUGUUAUGGGACCAUGGGACUUAAUAGUUAACUUUCUCACUGCCGCCCAUAAUCCUCUCUAAAAGGAAACUGGCGAAAUGUGCUUUAACUCUUUAAUGUGAAACAAUAGAAAACAUACUGAAACAUUUUGAUGCCUAAAAAAACUUUUAAAACUAUACCAAACAGAGCGGAAUCUUAUCUGAAGCCUCUCACAUCCUAUUUGUCUCAGUUCAGAAGUGCCCACCCCCCUUGUCUGCUCUCAUUGGUCACGGCACACGCCUGUCUUCACAAAGGCUGUGACAAACAGCAGCUUGUCAUCCCGCCCUCCGUAGGUACACUCCAUGUCCUCACCCAGGCCUCCUGGAGUGACAUCUGAACGGAUAUUUGCAGGGGGACCUCCACGUUGUAGCCAGAAAGCUAACGAAAACAAUCGUACCCGCUGCCACAGGCGCACAUGUUGCAGGAAGAAGAGACGAGUGAAGUGCUGAGAGAGCUGCAGUGGAUAAAGAAUUGUUCCUUAGUCUGCUAUGGAUUCUCAUGACCAUAUUCAUAACUCUGACUACUUUUCUGAAAAAACCCUUUGGAUGCUUGUGAUCUGUGGACCCUUACCGACUGAAGGAAUAUAAAUAACGGAGGAAUCGACACAAUUGCACUUCUAGGACUCCUAAAAGUCCCAACAAGAGGCUGCUGUGGCCAACUUCCCAUGUGAAAACUGACUGGGCUUGCCAAAAAGGCCAUGGCUCAGCUCCACGUUUUUGCUCCUGUUCCCUGUUUCUUCAUGUGAGGACUGAACAACAAAGGCAGCUGAACAACAGGGAUUUUAAUCUCCACUGAGUCCCCUUCGGUGUAGUUUUGUGGUUGGACGUGAACUAGGGCACUAAAAGGUGACCAUCACUGACUCCCUACUGGAAUUACCCUUUAAGCACCGGCGCUGGCUGUGUGAAAUCAGGACAAAGUACAGCCGGAGGCCUUUUUGUUUUCUGGCCUCUACUCCUCCUCACUCCAACAAUGUAAGGUCACCAGAGGCCCUGGAAGUACAUAAGGAGUGAUUAAUGUGGGCCAUAAACCCACAGAAACAUGCAGGCCUGUGUAAACAGCCAGCUUAUAGAGAAUGCAGCACUGACCCGUCGGAUCCAUGCUGCAGCAGUCAGAAAGAACAACUGAUUUGUUUUGGAAGACCAUAACAUACGCUAUCCCACUUAUCACUAAUUUCUCCUGCUUGUAUACGAGGUUACUAUGUUACAGUUUAACUAAUGGAGAGGAGAGUCACGUGCUUUGUGAGCUUCUCAGAAAAAGACCACAUGAAAUAUAUAACAUUAUUUAAUGAUGAUCGCUUUGAUUAAAAAACAAAUAUAAUGUUAGGGGCAUUAUAUUAACACUUGAAUACGUUCUUUAAAUCUUUAUAUAUAUAAAUAGUUUUUCUCACAGUUUAUUACCCAGAGGAGUUAUAAAGCUGAAUUGCAAUUCAUAUUAGACCCUACUCUCCCAUAAAGCUAAGGAUCUUAAAUAGUAACUCAUGGGCUGACAGCUUUGUGUUUAAAGCUGCUACCACUUGAAUUUGAUCUCUGACUUCUUGAGAGUCUUAGCAGAAGUGUUUCACAUCAAUGCAUAAAUCUUGUUCAUACAGGCCUCCAUCUCAUCGAGCUUAUGGUGGCUGGGAGAAAAUAGCAAAAUACUAUAAUAACUGUAGCCUUUGUACAAAACACAUCUCAGUUGAAUACAAGCAAUUUCUCCACAGCAUAAUUCCACUGGUUUGAAGUAUAAUGGCAGCCUGCUAUGUCUCUGUGCUUUUCUAAGUGGGUUUUGUUUACAAAUUGAACAAAACUAUCCUUAUAAAGAUGUAUUUGUGCGGUAGAGUUGGUACUGUGUGUUUCCAUUGCAUGAUCUAUAUAUGUAUCUAUAUGUUUAAAACAUGACUCAGCCACUCAAACCUAAUGCAGUAAACCUCGGUAUACCUUCUUUUGAGGAUCUAAUAAAUCAUUUGCCACCUUGGGACUGACUUGCUGAAUAUUUUAUCAAUAGUGCUAGCCAUGCUGAUUCUAUAGCUGGUUUAAUUUUCCCAGUUUUUAAGAUACCAGUCUCUAAUAUUCGUGCUUUCAUCCCAGUACAAUGGAGGUGACUGAAAUUUAAUUUGUGGUGCAUCAUUUUAAUAAUGAUCAGCAGUCCUCCAGAUACUCUUAACUAAGUCUUUGGUAGAAAGUAACUCAAGUGCAUCUGUUCACAGUGAAGAUAACAAGGACUGACUCUGACUCUGGAAGGUAAACAUGUUGAGUUUUUUUUUUGUUAAUGUAAUGUUUCAGUCCUGUGAGCACCACAAACAAAAUUCACUUCAUCUCUAUUUUACUGGGAUGAAAGCAGGCAUCUAAGAAACAGAAAUAUCUGCGUGGUUGGAUGCCAUUAGAGGUGAGAAAAGAUGGGGUGUUUUUUGGGUAAUUUUGAUUGAGAACCAACUAUUUGAAUUUGGUGGUGAGCAAGUUUAGUUCUGUCAUUUCCGCCACUGAAAGCUCUUGAAUUU